GUGGAAAUGGCAUUAAACAAUCUUGAAUCUUGAAUCCUGAAUCCAAGUUUGAUGUUUCAUUCCUGGAAAGUGAAGACUGCGGAGAAACACAACAAAAAAGCAUGAGUAGCUUUUGGAUGCUAAAAUAGCAAUUGCGCAGUGAAUGGAUGCUGCUGCAAUGUCCACAUGGAGUUGCGUCUCUUGCAAUCAUAUGAUGAUCUUUCUGGACUAAAGCUUUCAGAGCUAUCUGUGCUGUGAGCUCCCUUGCGUUUUUGACAAUCAUCUCCAGUGAUGAUGCAGUCCCAUAAGCUAAAUUGAAGGUAGGAGAUACAGAAGCCUGAAGGCACACACUCAGCGAUUCAGGAACAGCUUCUUCCCCUCUGCCAUCUGAUUUCUGAAUGGACAUUGAAGCUUUGGACACUACCACACUUUUUUAAAUAUACAGUACAAUAUUUCUGUUUUUGCACAUUUUUAAUAAUCUAUUCAGUAUAUGUAAUUGAUUUAAUUUAUUUAUUAUUAUUUUUUUCUCUCUGCUAGAUUAUGUAUUGCAUUGAACUGCUGCUGCUAAGUUAACAAGUUUCAUGUCACAUGCCAGAGAUAACAAAGCUGAUUCUGAUUCUGAUAUUUACAGAUGUGGUAUUCUCUUAAAACCAGGGCACGAUUUCAUGCUGAAUGUCCUGUUUCCUUCUCUUGGCAGCAACAAUGUUCAAUACUCACCAUGUGGGUUAAUGGUCUGAACUAAUAGCCAGAAGCAUGGCAUUUUCACACAGUAAUACUGUCUUAAUGGCAUGCAAACAGGUCCAUUGGCCCAACAAGUCCUCACUGAUCACCAUCUACCUAUUAAAAUGAAUCUUACAUUCAUCACAGGUAUUUUUUAUUCUCCCCACAUUCUCACCACCAUUCUACCACUCACCUGCACAGCAAGGGGAAUUUACACUGGCCAAUUAACCUACCAGCCUAAACAUCUUUGGGAUGUGGAAGGAAACUGGAGCAUCGGGAAGAACUCCACACGGUAUGCAAACACUACAUUGACAGGUCUCACGGUUAGGAUGGAAGCCGGGUCCCUGGCACUGUGAGGCUGCCGUUCCAUUAACUUCUCCACUGUGCUGCUCAAACCCAGGGCCAUGAAUUCAAAACCCAUUACAACUAAGGAAGAUAAUUAAAUAAAAUUAGGUGUAAUAAUCUAGUAUUAAUGAUGAUGAAGGUAAAAUGAUCCAAUUGCCAUGCUGUCUGGUUGACCAGCAUCUUGCGAGGAAUAAACCAACGUGUUUGAUUCUUAAUUGCGCUCUAAAACACAUAUCACAGUUCAGUAACCAAUUAGGAAUGGACAAUAAACACUGGCCUUGCCAACGGUGUCUAUGUCACAUGUGGUAAAUAAGUAAUAGCAAGAUUUAAGAGCAUACAGGACAUUUUCUGUUUAAGACAACAUCUGGUGCAAUUUGUGGACUAAGAGCAUGAAUGAAAGAGGCCCAAGAAAAUUAACCCCAUGUUCUUUGUUCUUGUCAACAAAUACAUGUCAAAAGAUAAUAAAUAGGCCUGUUAUAGACAGCCAGGUGUGCAGUUUCCUGGGUUGGUGAGUUCCGUGCUGAAGCAAGCAUGCAACUACAGGGGAAAUGUAGCUGAAUUACUGUUAUUGGGCACUGAUUUCAAAUACAGAUGUGACUGGAAAGGGAAAUUAUGGAAGGCAUUUAGAAGAUAAAGAAUA